rnacentral:lncRNA from 1 species
UUGGCAGUGGCAGCUCUGCCCGGUGAUCCCGGGCUGGCUUUGUGCCCCUGUGGGCACACUGAGGGUGCCCCGGCCUGGGGCAGUGCCCAACCUGCACUGGGGGUCCUCUGGGCUCCCCCCUGCCCUGCUCCCCCCUCCUCUGGCCAUUCAGAAAGUUUGGGAUGGCUCAAACCAGACCAGAGCACAUCAUGUCAGGGCAGGAGCUCUGCCAGCAGCAGCAGGGCCACAUCUCAGAUCUCUGUGUUUUCUUUUACAUGCUCUUUCUUUAUAAAUAUUAUAUAUUUUCUUUUAUAAAUUUUUUAUUAUUUUUCUUUAUAUAUAUUUUAUAUUUUCUUUUUAUAAACAUUUUCUAUUUCUCUACUUUCUUUUCUAUUUAUUUCCUUUCUAUUUAUUUCCUUUCUAUUUAUUUCCUUUCUAUUUAUUUCCUUUCUAUUUAUUUCCUUCCUAUUUAUCCCUUCAUAUUUAUCCCUUCCUAAUUAUCCCUUCCUAUUUAUCCCUUCCUAUUUAUCCCUUCCUAUUUAUUAUCCCUUCCUAUUUAUAAUUUCCUUCAUAUUUUUCUUUGUAUUUUCCUUAUAUUUAUUUUUCUUAUACUUAUUUUCCAUAUAUUUUCUUUACGUUCUCCUCAUAUUUUUUUUUCCUUCUUUCCUCUUUUCCCUCCCCUAUAUCAUCUCUCCUCCCCCCCUUCCCCAUUUCCAUCCCUCCCCUGUCUCCCCUCUGGCAGCCCACGCCAGGCCAGCCCUUGGAGCCCCAGGAGACCAGCACCAAAAACCCUCUGGAGGAGCCUGAACCCCCUGAACCAGAUGGGACCCCCCCAGCCCCCCUGCAGGGCAGGACAGCCCCGACCCCCACGGGCCCAGAGAACACCCUGAGCCCCCCAAAUGUGGGGGUUGAGGAUGACAAAGGCACAGAAAAGGAGAGCGAGGAGUGGGACAACGACAGCGGCGAGACCUCGGUGUGGGACAGCUCUGACCUGGGCACAGAGACCCUCGGAGCCCACCCGGAAAUCCCUCUGGGGGACCUUCCCCAGACCCGCUCCGGGCUCCAGGCCUACAGGACCCACCUGCUCAUGGAGCUCAUGUGGCUGCAACAGGCUAUUGCCAGCAGGAAAAACUUCUUGAUGCUGAAGCAGAAGCUGGGGAUUCCUGACUCCUUGGAAGGCAUUCCCAACCCCCUGGAUGGGUGUGGGGAAGCCGUGGAGCUGCAGCACCACGGGUGACCUCAGGGGAGCUCCAGCUCCGUGGGUUGAUGGUUUUAACUUCAGCAGAAUGUGGCAAGAAAGCCUCUUAGCUCUUGUAGAUGUGAAUGUUUGGUCAGAGCAGGAUUAAACACUGUGGAGCCAGGGAGGUUGUGGUGUGUGCUGGAGGAAUUCCCUGUGAGGAUCCUUCCACAAGGACCCCAUUCCUGUUGGCUGAGCUGGGUGAUCCGGGGGGAGAAAAUGGAGGAUGGGAAGAUUUUUCACUUACAGAAGGUGCUUUUGGACUGAAAUGCCUGAAGGCAGCAGGUGCUGGGACCUGCAGGAACAGCCUGUUCCUCUCUGAACUAUGUGGGAAUCUGAGCUGAGUGUUUGGGAGGGCUCUGCACUUCACACCUCUGCAAUAUCCAGGAUCUCCAAGUGCCCGCGGUGGAUUUUGGGAACACUGGACCAGUGCCUCAGGGAGGUUGGGAAGUGCUCUAUCUGUUCCUGUAGCUCAGGAACAUUCCAGGUCCCUGGAAAAGGGACUUUCCAUGUGGUGCUGUGGUUCCCCCCCGUGAUUCCCCCUCUGCAUUCCUGCUCCCUGAACAGCCUCUGUUGCCAGGUGGCAGAUGGAUCCCUCUGUUCCAGAAUAGAUCCCCACUUG